UAAUGAGGGAAGCAAAUGAAGCUGCAAAGUAAAUAAAGGGUGUUCAUGGUAAAAUAAUUAUUAUACUUUACUUAUAUAUGGGACUUUAAUAGGUACAUGUAUAAGUGUAUAAUUAUAAUUAUUAUACUUGCAUUCACUCCUUUAUUCUUGAUGUCCUGACAAUUUAAAUAGUAAAUAAAAAUGUGUAAAGUAAAAUGGUGGGUACACUUUUAUAGAGUACUUUUAGUUUACUUUACUGAUUUAUUUACACAUUGAAUUGUUAUUUAUAAUUUACACUAUAUGUGUAUUGGUAAGAAUAAGUAAAUUGAUUAAAUCUGUGUAUUUUUAUAUGAUUAGUAUCGUAAUUGAAUAAAUUAUGAACUGUUAUAUAAAGGUGCCAGUGUAAUAUUUAAUCAAUUGAAUUAUUCUCAUCUAGGACAGUAGCUGGCCUUCAUUUGACCC
rnacentral:rRNA from 1 species